ACCCCAAAUAAGCAACUUCUAUGUUCUUUGUACUAAAAUUAUAACUGUCGUUUUUAUAUUGUCUUAUAUACAUACUUUUAUAUUGUCAUACAUACAUAGUUUGCCGCUAUUACAUUUUGUUAUGUUUAUUGUACAUUGUUAAGUCGUCUAGUAAACAUCACACAGUCAUAUACGCGGUUAACUUUGGGUUAGAAUUAAACUCCAUUGUUUCACUCAACCACCUGACAACCAUAACAAUUGGCGACGAGGAUUUUAAACAUAAAAAAAAAUUGCAACGACAUUGCAAUAUAAAAAAAAAAACACGAUCGUUUAUUUUUUUGUUGUGAGUGAAAUUAAUAAACACAAUGACUUCUUUGGAACAAGUGGUUGGACAACUCCUAGCGCGUCAACAAGAGGCUAUGGAAAAACAACACCAACUAAUGGAAAGACUGAUUAUUGCUACACAAGGAUCAACGGCAAGUAAUGUAAGUGGGUCAACAACACCUUCUGCAAGUGUAACUGCCCCAGAAGCCUUGAUGGACAUUUUAUCGAAAAAUAUACGUGAGUUUACCUACGAACCUGAAGAAAACCAGAUUUUCGGCACUUGGUACGAGCGCUAUGAAGAUGUUUUCCAGGUUGAUGCAGAUCAACUUGAUGAUGCUGCAAAAGUGAGGUUAUUGUUGAGAAAGGUUAGUAAUGGCGUUUUUAACAAAUACAAAGACUAUUUACUUCCAAAACAACCUCGUGACGUCACAUUCCAACAAACAGUGGACAUCUUGAAAAAACUUUUUGGAAGGAAAGAGAGUCUAUUCAGUACUCGUGUAAAAUGUAUAACAAAUGUAAAAAAAGAAGACGAAGACAUAAUCAGUUACGCAGCCAAAGUAAAUCGCCAUUGUGAAAAUUUUUUAAUAAAUAAAUGCACUGCGGAUAAUUUUAAAUGCCUUAUAUUUGUAAAUGGAUUGUCAUCGCAUAAGGAUCAAGAAUAUAAAGCGAGACUUUUGACUCUACUAGAGUCUGAAACGGAGCAAAAUCAAUUGAAUUUGGAUAAUUUAGUCGCUGAAGUGGAACGUAUCAACAGUCUUAAACGCGAUGUUUCAACAAAUGAAAAUCCAAAUGUCAACUCAGUUCAUAGUUCCAAGCAACGUACACCACAGAAUGCUAAUAAAGACCUAAAGCCAAGGCGACCGUGCUGGCAAUGUGGAAAUAUGCAUUUUGUCCGUGAUUGUGGUUAUACAACACACAAAUGCUCACAGUGUGGUAAAGUUGGACAUAAGGAAGGAUUUUGCUCAUGCUUUCCAGAUAAAAAGCCAAAUAUAAGCAAAAAUAAUCAGCAACAUCAAAAUAAAAGUAAUUUCAAGAAAACGCGUAAAACAAUAAAAAGCGUAUAUGCAACCACAGCAGCAUGUAAAAAUAGACGAUACAUUUCACUACAAAUUAACAAUGUAAAUCUCUCUCUUCAACAUGAUACUGGUUCGGAUGUCACGAUCAUCUCAAAUAAGAACUGGGUUAAAAUUGGUAAACCAACUUUAGAAAUUUCUCAGCACAAGCCAAGAGAUGCUUCUACAAAUGAAAUUAACAUAAUAGGUCAGUUUCAGUGUACAGUGGUUAUCAAUAAUCAAAACCAAACAUGCAACAUUUUGGUAUCAUCACUUCCUGAUUUAAAUCUUUUCGGUUCUGACUUAAUGGAACAAUUUAAAUUGUGGAACCAACCCAUUGAUUCUUAUACAUCGUGUAAACAACUUCAAGUUAACAACACACUCACAGAAUCUGAAUUGCGUAAAACAUACCCAGAAGUUUUUAGGAAUGAAAUUGGACACUGCACUCAUUUUAAAGUUCACCUACAACUUAAACCACAAGCUGUUCCUGUUUUUCGUCCUAAAAGGCAAGUAGCGUAUGCAGCAAAAGAUCAACUAGACAGUGAAAUUCAAAAACUUGAACGUGAAGGUAUCAUUUCACCAAUAAACCCAUUGUGGUGGUGAAAAAGGCUUCUGGUAAUCUACGUAUUUGUGGGGAUUACUCCACUGGACUAAAUGAUCAGCUAGAACCUCACACGUUUCCACUACCUCUUCCAGAUGAAAUUUUUAUAAAUUUUAACAACUGUUCAAUAUUUUCAAUAAUUGAUUUAAAUAAUGCCUACAUGCAAAUAGAAGUCGACGAUGACACGAAAAAACUACUAGUUAUUAACACUCAUCGUGGCUUGUACACUUUUAAUCGGCUUGCCCCAGGUGUGAGAUCGGCUCCUGGUGCUUUUCAACAGUGUAUGGAAUCAAUUAUUUCUGGUAUUAAAGGCGUUUUUCCUUAUCUGGACGAUGUUAUUGUAGCCACACCAACACGCGAAGAAAAUAUAGCAGCUGUAAAACAGGUAUUUGAACGUUUAAAAAAAUACAACAUUACAGUGAAUUUUGAAAAAUGCAAAUUUUUUAAAACUUCGUGUACAUACCUUGGUUACCAUUUUGACAAAAAAGGCGUUUAUCCAGAUAAAAAUAAAAUUAAAAAAAUUUUACAAUUUUCGCCUCCCAAGAAUAUUAGUGAAUUGCGGUCUUUUCUAGGAGCAAUUAACUACUACGGUAAAUUUCUACAUGAAAUGAGAAAGCUUAGAGAUCCUUUGGAUAAUUUACUCAAGAAAAACACAGCAUGGAAUUGGUCAUCAUCAUGUCAACGCAGUUUUGAGCGGUUUAAACAGCUUCUGUCAUCUGAUUUGUUGCUUACUCACUUUGAUCCAAAGCUUCCUAUCAAAGUAGCAGCUGACGCCUCAAACGUUGGACUGGGUGCAUAUAUCUGUCAUGUUUUUCCUGAUGGCAGCGAAAAAGCAAUUUAUCAUGCGUCAAGGUCUCUCACUCCAGCUGAGAAAAAUUACUCUCAAAUUGAAAAGGAAGGAUUGGCGCUGGUUUUCGCUGUAAUUAAAUUCCAUAAAUAUUUAUUUGGUAGAAAAUUUAUUCUUCAAACGGAUCACAAGCCCCUGCUUUCAAUUUUUGGAAAUAAAAAAGGAAUUCCGGCACAUUCUGCAAACCGUCUCCAGCGAUGGGCUCUUACACUCAUGUCAUACGAUUUUACUUUGCAAUACAUUUCAACUCAUGAAUUCGGAGCAGCUGAUAUUUUAUCUCGUCUUAUUUCCAAUGUACCAAAACCAAACGAAGACACUAUCAUCGCUUGUAUUCAAUUGGAAGAUGACAUCAAAAAGGUAAUUAACGAUAUCACAAAUGCCUUGCCGGUAUCAUUCAACAUGAUUUGUGCUGCAACUAAAAAGGAUUCAAAUCUCCAAGAUCUUAUAAAAUUCUUACAAACUGGUAAGUGGCCAAAUGAAAAAUCUUCUGAUAUUCAGUGUUAUUUUUCGAGAAAACAAGAUUUAAGUAUUGUUGAUGAUUGUGUUAUGUACGGGGAGCGUAUUAUAAUACCCAGCUGUUUUAGAAAACGCAUUCUAAAAGAAUUACACAAAGGUCAUCAUGGUAUCGAGAGGACAAAGGCACUGGCUCGCAGCUAUGUUUAUUGGCCCCAUAUGGAUGAUGAAAUUAAAAGGUAUGUACAGAAUUGUGCCAAAUGCUCUUCAGUAGCAAAAUCGUUACCAAAAACUUCACUUUAUUCAUGGCCAUUAACAAAACAACCUAUGGAAAGAGUUCAUAUAGAUAUAGCCGGUCCUGUUGAUAAUUUUUAUUAUUUCGUAAUAGUAGAUUCAUUUUCGAAGUGGCCACAAAUUUAUCAAAUUAAAUCGAUUUCUUCAAAUUCAAUUAUAAAUUGUAUGCGCGAUUUCACUUCAUUGUUUGGAAACCCUGAAUUAAUAGUGAGUGAUAAUGGAACUCAGUUCUCCAGCAGCAUGUUUUCCAAGUUUUGUCAAGAAAAUGGCAUUUUACACAAAUUUACAGCUCCAUACCACCCUCAAUCAAAUGGUCAGGCAGAAAGGUUCGUUGACACUUUAAAGCGCGCUUUGAAAAAACUCGAAGGAACGGGCACUUCUAGUGAAAAUCUACAAACAUUUUUAAAAUGUUAUCGUUCUUCACCAAAUCCUAGCUCUGGUGGCAAAUCGCCUUCUGAAUUGUUCGUGGGGAGAAAAAUAAGGAUUAAUCUUGAUCUACUUAAAAAACCAACAGAAUCCCAAUUACAACGAAACGAGAAAAUGGAAGAACAAUAUAACAAACGUAAUGGUGCUAAAGAGCGGAUAUACAAUAUUGGUCAGAAAGUUUACGCAAAAUUAUACAAAUUAAAUAAAUCUGAAUGGUUCCCAGGUAUUAUCAAACGAAAACUCGGAAAUGUCAAUUACGAAGUCGAAAUCGAAAACAUUCCUGAAUUUCGUGCAGUUAGGUCUCAUACAAACCAACUAAGACCUCGUUAUUCUGAAUCUGAGAACAUAGCAGCUAAUGAUGUUUUAUUUGAUUAUUUCAAUUUAACAGCUCAACAGACUCCUCCUAGAGAUCAAAAUAUGAGAGACAAUGAGAUUGAAUAUGUACCACUCACUGAUGGACAGACUACAUCUACAGAUGAAUUGCAACCUGUUCAAGAUCCACUUCUAGUUACUUCACCAUCUGGUUCAACAAACGUGAAUAGUCAACCGACAACUUUAGAAAAGUUAACGUCAACAUUAGAAGAAGGUGCAUCGACUAGUAAUUCAACAACAGAUCCUGUAAUUCAAACAGAUGAAGCUUCCCCAGCUCUUCGAAGGUCCAAUCGUAGGAAGCGUCCUCCUGUAUGGACUCCAGAUUAUAAUCUUCUUAAAAGAAAGAGAGAUGUUGGCAACCCCAAAUAAGCAACUUCUAUGUUCUUUGUACUAAAAUUAUAACUGUCGUUUUUAUAUUGUCUUAUAUACAUACUUUUAUAUUGUCAUACAUACAUAGUUUGCCGCUAUUACAUUUUGUUAUGUUUAUUGUACAUUGUUAAGUCGUCUAGUAAACAUCACACAGUCAUAUACGCGAUUUGCCCUAACUGCAUUAAAUCCAUUACUGAAAAACACAAUAAUCGGUUAACAGCAAAUUUAAGCAAAAUUUAACUGAGUAGUAAGAAACCCGACCUUAGCCAGAUAAAUUCAAACAGAUUGCGA